UACGGAGGGUGCUAGCGUUAAUCGGAAUUACUGGGCGUAAAGCGCGCGUAGGCGGUUUGGUAAGUCGGAUGUGAAAGCCCCGGGCUUAACUUGGGAAUGGCAUUCGAUACUGUCAAGCUGGAGUAUGGUAGAGGGAAGCGGAAUUCCGCAUGUAGCGGUGAAAUGCGUAGAUAUGCGGAGGAACACCAGUGGCGAAGGCGGCUUCCUGGACCAAUACUGACGCUGAGGCGCGAAAGCGUGGGGAGCAAACAGG
rnacentral:rRNA from 1 species